rnacentral:rRNA from 1 species
GACGAACGCUGGCGGCGUGCCUAAUACAUGCAAGUAGGACGCAGUUGCGAACGGGUGAGUAACGCGUAGGUAAAUGCCUAUUAGAGGGGGAUAACUAUUGGAAACGAUAGCUAAUACCGCAUAGUAGUAGAUGGACCUGCGUUUUAUUAGCUAGUAGGUAGGGUAAUGGCCUACCUAGGCAAAGAUACAUAGCCGAGCUGAGGGUGUGAUCGGGCCCAAUGGGACUGGUGCACGGCCCAGAAUUCGUACGGAGGCAGCAAGAGGGGAUCUGCGGACAUGGGGGGAACCCUGAACGCGUACAGCCGGGUGAGUGAAGGAGGUUUUCGGGUCGUAAAGCCCUGUUGUUAAGGAAGCGGUACUUAACGAGAAAGGGACGGCUAACUACGUGCCAGCAGCCGCGGUAAUAC